AGUGAACGCUGGCGGUAGGCCUAACACAUGCAAGUCGAACGGCAGCACAGUAAGAGCUUGCUCUUACGGGUGGCGAGUGGCGGACGGGUGAGGAAUACAUCGGAAUCUACUUUUUCGGGGGGGAUAACGUAGGGAAACUUACGCUAAUACCGCAUACGACCUACGGGUGAAAGCAGGGGAUCUUCGGACCUUGCGCGAUUGAAUGAGCCGAUGUCGGAUUAGCUAGUUGGCGGGGUAAAGGCCCACCAAGGCGACGAUCCGUAGCUGGUCUGAGAGGAUGAUCAGCCACACUGGAACUGAGACACGGUCCAGGCUCCUACGGGAGGCAGCAGUGGGGAAUAUUGGACAAUGGGCGCAAGCCUGAUCCAGCCAUACCGCGUGGGUGAAGAAGGCCUUCGGGUUGUAAAGCCCUUUUGUUGGGAAAGAAAAGCAGCAGGUUAAUACCCCGCUGUUCUGACGGUACCCAAAGAAUAAGCACCGGCUAACUUCGUG
rnacentral:rRNA from 1 species